rnacentral:lncRNA from 1 species
ACCAUAAUGGAGUACAUAAGAGAAGUCACAAAAUUGGGUGAGUUCUGUUUGAAAUACUUUCAAUGGCUCUAGGAUUGAAGCCUGAAUAUUUGAAAGAUAUGAUAUGCUUCAAUUUAUACCUCAUUGUCUGCAACUACUAUCCGCACUACCCACAGCCAGAGCUGACUUUGGGAGCUAGAAGGCAUUCUGAUCCUUCAUUCCUUACAAUUCUGUUGCAAGACCAAAUCUGUGGCCUUCAAGUCUUUCAUGAAAAUCAGUGGAUUGAUGUCCACCCUAUAUCAGGAGACUUGGUGGUAAAUAUAGGGGGCUUUCUCCAGGUUUGUCUUUGAAAAUAAUAGAGACAAUUAAUCUUCCCAUCAUCUGCUUAAUUUUCGUGUUUUAAUAGUAACUAUAUAUGCUAAUUAAUGUUUUCAAUAAUUAAUUAAUUCAGGUUAUAUCAAACAAUAAGCUCAAGAGUGUUGACCAUAGAGUUGUGGCCAAUGUUCAUGCCACUGCAAGGGUUGCUGUGGCAUGCUUUUUCACAGGACAUGCUACUGAAGCGCAGAAGCCCUUUGGACCGAUCAAAGAACUUCAAAGCAAAUGUUUUCCAUCAAUUCUGAAGAAAAUCCACCUGUUUACAGAGAAUUUCUAGUGGGAGAAUAUAUGAGCAAAUUUUUUUCCAGAGAACUUCAAAGCAAGUCUGCUGGCCUUGAGCAGUUCAAGCUUUAAAAGUAGCAGUAUACUUGAAUAGAGUUCUCAAAUGCUGUAAAUUGAGUAUGUACUAAUGUUAAUAUCUGCCCUUACGAAAAAUUUCAAUCUACAUGUUUUAAAUAAGUAAGAGAUUUUAGAGUAUAUUAGAGGUACUACACUUAAUUAAUUGGUCGUUAUAUCUAAUUAAACUAUACAUGCUGUAUAUAUAAAUGUAGUACUUCUUUAUACUCCAGAAUUUCUUCAAAUAAGCAUAAUAUAUGAUUCUCUUGUGUUAUCGAUUAUUUUUGUGUAAAAUUCCAAAAGCAGCUUAUAGAUUCUAAUUUUUCUAAUGUUUUCAAUGCUAAUUUCAAAAUAAACAAUUAGACCUAAUGCUCAUAUAUAUGUUUAGAGUGUAAUUAAUUGAAAAAAUAUUUCAUAGUCAAAUCUCAAAUCGCUUAUCAUUAUAAAUAUAUUCUGUGACACGUGAGACUUUGAAAGAUCAACACAAUUCAAGUAAUUUGAUAAAUGUAAUGAGCGCCCAUGGCUACCGAAUAAAAAGAGGAAAGCAAUUUGGCCAGUGAAACCUCUCGACACCGUUCCUGGGUUUGCAGCAUCUUAUAUCUAAUGACAAGUUAUAACCCGUUCGGGUUUGAGACUGGAAAAUUAUUUCGGUUCGGUGCUGUUCGGUUUGGAAUUCGGUUCGAUUCGAUUCGAUUCGGUUCGGAUUGCAAAACGGCUUGGGUUGCAAAAUGGUAGUGUGUGUGUGUGUGUGUAUAGAGGGGGAGGGAAUUUUCGUUCUAGAACAUACAAUUGAUGUUAAUUUGCAAGUAGUGGCUGAGAAAAUUCAAACAAGAAGCCAAAAAGCAAAAAGAUAAUCAUCAAGAGAAUGGCAUCUACAUAUUACAGCCUUUUUAUUUGCAUGCGGGCCUCGGGCAAAUUAAUACAAAGAGAAGGCUCCAAAACAAGGGAUUGACCAAUCGAUUCUUGAUCACCAUGCACCAUAAAGCCAGCGUCACUGCCACAACCACCUAUGAUUAUGAUCUCAAGUUUUAGUGCUUUUGGAAAGUGUGUGUGGACGUGGGUCGAACAACACAGUACACAACAAUGCAAGAAAAUGCAGCCAAACAAAAUUUAUAAUCGACUUGCCGUGGGAGACGAGUGAACAGCGAGCUACGACAGCAUGGCUGUGGGCGAUUUGCUGUGCUGGCGAGUGACGACGGCAGGCUAAUAGCAAAGGAGCGGUCAUUGCUCGUGUGAGAGAGACGAGACGAAACGAAAUUAGACGGUGAGGACGUGACGCGUGAGGCAGUGGUGUGUUGGCGUGGUGCAGCGACGUCGACGUGGAGCGGUAGAGAAACUGCCGGCCGGGAUCGAUUCUGGUUAGGGUUUGGGAAUUGGGAUUUUGGGUAGGGUGUUAGAAUCGGGUUUGUGAGAACUGAGAAAUUCAAUUGGUUAUGAGGUAAUUGGAAAGAUAGAAAUGGUUAAACGGGUUUGGGAAUUGGGUUGUUGGAUUUUUUUUUUUUAAAAGAGUUAAAAAGCGCUCGGUUUGGAAAUGACCCGAACCGGAUGUCAAAACCGAUCGGGUCUGAGGAUAUAAUCCGUUCGGGUUUUAUCCACUUGAUUUUAAGCCAGGCCGUUUACCAAUUAUAACUAUCCAAUCUUUAUGCUCAUUAAUUAUUUGAUACUUUGUUGAAAGGUAUUAAUAUAAGCCAUAAGGCUACCAUCUAUGCUCGUCAUCUUCUUGUAGAAGACAGACAAUGGAUAUCUCAGAUGCGGCCAGUACAACGACAACGAAAACUGUAACGGAAUAUGACAGAGCUAAAGAGGUUCAGGCUUUUGAUGAUACGAAAGCCGGUGUCAAAGGACUAGUGGACGCUGGAGUAGUGAAUAUUCCCAGGAUAUUCAUUCGACCGCCUGCAGAGCUUGCGGAGGAGUUGACGACUCACCAGAGCAAAUUACAAGUGCCAGUUAUCGAUCUUGAUGGCAUCAGAUACAAUCAACUUGAAGAUAUUGUUGAUCAAGUUCGGGCUGCGUCCCAAACAUGGGGCUUUUUCCAAGUUAUCAAUCAUGGGGUUCCCUUAAACCUGAUACAAGAGAUGAUCGAAGGAGUUCACAAGUUUAAUGAACAAGAUGUUGAGGUGAAGAAACAGUUCUACACACGUGAGCGCACAAGAAAUGUUAGAUUCAACAGUAACUUUGAUCUGUAUCACUCACGAACCGCAAGUUGGAGGGACACGUUGGCCAUUUCUACUUCGGGUACCAAAAGUUUGGAACCCAAUGAAUGGCCGAAAGUUUGCAGGUAUAUACAUAAUCGAUCCCUGUCUCUGUAUAUAUAUUGCUGGUUAAUUAAGAGCCCUUUUUAAUUAAUGUUCAGUAUAUUGUAACCAGCCAUCAUGAGUUGUGAUAUCAUAUUCUUCUGUACAAUCGUUCAUCCGAAUUUGCAGAGAUACCAUAAUGGAGUACAUAAAGGAAGUCUCAAAAUUGGGUGAGACUCUGUUUGAAAUACUAUCAAUGGCUCUAGGACUGAAGCCUGAAUAUUUGAAAGAUAUGGGAUGCUUCAAUUUAUACAGCGUUAUCUGCCACUACUAUCCGCACUGCCCACAGCCAGAGCUGACUUUGGGAGCUAGAACGCAUUCUGAUCCUUCAUUCCUUACAAUUCUGUUGCAAGACCAAAUCGGUGGCCUUCAAGUCUUUAAUGAAAAUCAGUGGAUUGAUGUUAACCCUAUGUCAGGAGGCUUGGUGGUAAAUAUAGGGGACUUUCUCCAGGUUUGUUUUUGAAAAUAACGGAGACAAUUAAUCUUCCCAUCAUCUGCUUAUUUUUCGUGUUUUAAUAGUAACUAUAUAUGCUAAUUUAAAGUUUUCAAUAAUUAAUCAAUUCAGGUUGUAUCAAACGAUAAACUCAAGAGUGUUGACCAUAGAGUUGUGGCCAAUGUUCAUGCCACUGCAAGGGUUUCCGUGGCAUGCUUUUUCACAGGACACACCACUGAAACGCAGAAGCCCUUUGGGCCGAUCAAAGAGUUGAUCUCUGAAGAAAAUCCGCCUGUUUACAGAGAAUUUCUAGUGGGAGAAUAUUUCAGCAAAUAUUUUUCUAAAGAACUUGAAGGCAAGUCUGCUGGCCUCAAGCAGUUCGAGGCUUGAAAGUAGCAAUAUAUUUGAAUAGAGUUCUUAAAUGUUGUGUAAUCAAUAAAUUGAGGAUGUACUGAGGUUAAUAUCUGCCCUUCCGAAUAACUUCAAACUACAUGCAUGUUUCAAAUAAGGAUAAUAAUUCUCUUGUGAUUUAUUUAUUUAUUUUUUUAUUUUUUGUGUAAGAUUCAAGAAGCAUCCUAUCAAUUUGGAAUUUUUUAUGUUAUCAUGCUAAUUUAAAAAUAAACAAUUAGACUUAAUGCUCAUAUAUAAUUAUAUAUGAUCUACUACUGAUAUUUUUACAAGAUUGAACUUUAGUGUAUCAUUAAUUAAAAAAAAAUUAUUAUGUACUCAAAUCUUAAUAGUAUGCGUUUUACUAAGUUAUAUAUAAUGUAACUUACAAUAAACCCAAAGUUAAUUAUCCAUAACCUUUUGCUUGUUUCACAUAUUAUCAUUCUCUUGUAUUGAAAAAUUAUUUUUGAAUUGUUGUAAAUUACAUAUAACCUAACUUAGCAGCUACCCAUGUAUCAUUAUAAAUAUAUUCUGUUACACGAGAUCUUUGAACUAUACAACACAAAUUAGCAAAAAAUCUGGACUUGAAAAAUGUAAUAACUGAAGCGGUUGAACAUGAGCUGUAAUGCUCAGGGCUACCCAAUAUGCUGGACUUUUCUAAUUCCAACAUCGGAGUCAAAGGGUCAACAGAUUAGGCAAUUGAUUAAGGCCUCAUAUUUAGUUAAUAUGCAUUUAGUCAAACUUUUUUAUUUGUAAAUUUUCUAUCCUCAGUAAUUAUAAAGCAGCAAGCCAGCAAACGAUGUAUAUUAAGUGCCUGUUUGGUAUGGCUUAUUUAAGAGCCAUAAGAGCUUAUUUAAUCGUAUAAGCACUUUUUAAAAAAUUUUAUAGUGUUUGUUUAUUUUUUUAGUAGAGUUUUUUUAGCUUAAAUAAGCUAAUUUACCUCUACUAACAAAAGCCUAAAAUUUGAGCUUUUGGGAGUAGAGGUUAUAAAGCUUUUUUAAAAAUAUAUAAUAUAAAAAAUAUCACACAGUUUAAUAGUUCAAAAGUGUGUUUUUUAUUGACAACCAAACACCCAAUGACUUUUUGUCCAAAAGUUCUAUUGGUAUAAACUCUACUGUUAUAAGCUCUAUUUAAUAAGUUGUACCAAACGGAGCCUAAUUAGUUUGCAAAAUAAAGGGCUUAUUGGAAAUUCUCCUGUAUACAGUGAAACGUCUGUGCAAGAUUUCAUUGCGUACUGCAAAUCAAGAGGACUUUGAUGGGAACUCUGCUCUCACACGUUUCAAGUUGCGGAGGUAACCACAGAUAGGAGGUUAGGUUGCCGUGAUUAACGGAUUGUUUACCCAAGUGGAUGGUUGUGCUGGAGCCGUACUGAUGCGCACUGACAUCCAUGUGCUUCUCAACACUUGAUGUUUGCUUUCACUUGUCGAAGUUGGAUUUGAAAAAGAAAAAGCCGAUGUACGAAAAGGGUCCAGCUACAGUUCAACACCCCCUUGUAAAUUUUCAUUUAACCCUUUUUACUCAUUUUUAUUUAAACUUUAUUUCAUAAAUAUUAAGUUAUUUCCUACUGCAUCUAUAUGAAUAUUUUAGUUAGCACCUUAUACUAUUUAUUAUUAACAAAAUUUUAUUUUAUAUUACAUAUGUAUCACAAUGCCCCCUCCCUUUAUAAUUUUGAGAUCAAAUAAUUAAUCAGAUCGACCCGAACACUCGAACCCGACCCAGAUUUCGUUUCCAUUUCCGGCCACUCUACCGCCCAAGGUUGAUACCAAUCAGAAGCUCGUGAGAUGCCGGUCAUCUCCAUGCCACCCACGUUGUCAGAAGGCUUUCGGAAAGCUACCGUCGACUCGACCCUGAUUCCGUUUUCGUUUUCGGCCACUCCACUGGCCAAGGUUGGUACCGAUCGGAAGCUAGUGCGACACCGGUCAUCGGCAUACCAUCCUUGUCGCUGAAAAGUAUUCGUAAAGUUGCGGAUCGAAGCCAUGAAAAGCCGCGGAAUCAUCGCUUCAAUUCGCUAUGAUUUCGCCAGUUUUCGGUGACGCCACCACUUGUGUUUUGUUCCCCAUAAAUCCCUCUGUCUUUUCCGACCAACCACAGCCACUGGAGGAGCCGUUAUCAGCCGUUGAAGGAUUCAGGGAUGCAGUAGAAAGUAACUUAAUAUUUGUGAAGCAAAGUUCAAAUAAAAAUGAGUGAAAGGGGUUAAAUAAAAUUUUACAAUGGUACAGCCACAAAAGACAAAAGAAAUGACAUGGUACCGCUGUGGUAUAAUAGCUUAGUCCGUACGAAAAACCAAUUAGGACGUCUAUUUACUUCAGGAAUGAAAAUUAUUUGAAUAUCUCUGCUGUAAGCAUAGCAUCCUUGAAUCGUUGACUGCCAGUGCAAUGGUGUGAUCUCUAUCAAGCAAUAAGUAAGCUUGAUUUUAAGCCAGGCCGUUUACCAAUUAUAACUAUCCAAUGUUUAUGCUCAUUAAUUAUUUGAUACUUAGUUGAAAAGUAUUAACAUAGGCCAUAAGACUACCAUCUAUGUUCAUCAUUUUCUUGUAGAAAACAGACGAUGGAUAUCUCAGAUGCCAGUAGAACGACCACGCAAACUGUAACGGACUACGACAGAGCUAAAGAGGUUCAGGCUUUUGAUGAUACAAAAGCCGGUGUCAAAGGAUUAGUGGAUGCUGGAAUUGUGAACAUUCCGAGGAUAUUCAUUCGACCACCUGAGGAGCUUGUCGAGGAGUUGACCAGUCAUCAGACCAAUUUUCAAGUACCGGUUAUCGAUCUUGAUGGCGUCAGAGGCAAUAAGCUUGAGGAGAUUGUUGAUCAAGUUCGGGCUGCAGCAGAGCCAUGGGGCUUCUUUCAAGUGGUGAAUCACGGUAUUCCCUUAAAUGUGUUGGAAGAGAUGAUUGAAGGGAUACGCAAGUUUAAUGAACAAGAUGUUGAGUUGAAGAAAGAGUUUUAUACACGUGACCAGACAAGAAAUGUCAGAUUCAACAGCAACUUUGAUCUGCAUUACUCACGAACAGCUAAUUGGAGGGACACGUUGACAAUUUCUACCGUAGCUUCCACCAAUUUAGACCCCAACGAAUACCCAGAAGUUUGCAGGUACAUACUUUGAUCGCUGGCUAUGUAUAGCAUUAUCUCCCAACAUCUGAAUCCGACUGAUUGUUUAAUAUGCAAUUGGAUACACUUUAUGGAAGGCAUUGGGCUUGCUACCACAAGUUCAAAUAAUAAGUUCUUUUGGACCAAAAUUUGUUGAAGUUGAAAAAGAAAGUCUUAGUUGGGACGCAUAGUUGCUGCAAUAUGCUGAGGUUUUUUCUCAUGUUGGGUUAUUAAGUUUGUUUAUUGAAUGUGAAAGACACGGUCUGUAAGCAUGUUCUUGUUCCUGCUAAUAUUUCAUUUAAUGUUUCACUAUUUGCUGCUGCAAAUGAGCACCCUACUUUAUGCUCACUUAGGCAUUUAAUCAAACUUCUUCAUAGAUAUUAUCAAACACCUGUGAACUCCUUGUAAUAGACGUGAAAACAAACCAUCAACAGAAAUCAUCAACCAACAACUACAAGAGCAAUUAAUGUGUGGUUCAUUGAAUUGGCUUAUGUACAUCUAAGUUCCUAUCAUUCGAUAUCACAAAAUUGUAAUUCUAAAUGAAUCAACAAUUUUGCAUUUUACAGGUCUAUUGAAAUUAAUUAAUUCGUGAUCACAGUGAUAUUUUUUUCUUUUUACUUUUUUCUGUUAAUACCCAAUUGAUUGUAUCUUCUCCUGUGCCAAUUGUUCUCACAAAUUUGCAGAGAUGCUGCGAGAGAGUACAUUAAAAAUGUCACAAAAUUGGCUGAAACUCUGUUUGAAUUAUUAUCACUGGCUCUUGGGCUGAAGGCUGAACAUUUACUAGAGAUUGGAUGCCCUAAAGAAUACAUCCUUCUCUGCCAAUACUAUCCACCUUGCCCUCAGCCAGAUUUGACAUUGGGAGCUACCGGGCAUUCAGACCCUUCAUUUCUUACCAUUCUUCUGCAAGACCAAAUCGGCGGCCUUCAAGUCUUUCAUGACAAUCAAUGGGUUGGUGUUCAACCCAUCGUGGGAGGCUUAGUGGUAAACAUAGGGGACUUCCUCCAGGUUUGUCUUUCACAAUUGCAAUGACUAUUUUUUCCACCAUCAUGCCAAUCUUCAUCAAUCAUCACGACACUCAUGACUAAUUAGCUGAUGGUGUCUUAAAAUUGAAUCAGAUUAUAUCAAACGACAAGUUCAAGAGUGUUAAACACAGAGUAGUCGCCAGUCAGGUCGGUCCAAGGGUUUCCGUGCCAUGCUUUUUCAUGGGACAUAAUGCAGAAAUCCCAAAGUCUUAUGGGCCGAUCAAAGAGUUGACAUCCGCAGAAAAUCCUCCUAUUUACAGAGAUUUUCUUGCAAGUGAAUAUUUUAGCAAACGAUUUUCUACGGUGCUUGAUGACAAUUCUCCCCUCCAUCAGCUCAAAUUAUGAAGCCGGCAAUAUUUGUAUAAAUUACUCGUAUUUGGUAACAACAAUUUACAAAUUGCGGAGUCCUGUUGUGAACUCUUUCCCAAUAAUUCCGAAAAAAAUAUGUUUUAACUAAUUAAUAAGGUAUGAAUCAUCCAAUGUUGCUCUUUGAUUUCUUCAAUUAUUAGAAUGUCCCUACUGCACUGCAGUUCCCCAAUUAGUGUCAAAAUUGCUCAGCCAGCGCUCGUUGUAAUGCUUCGUUUAUUAUUUGAUAUGGAUUAAACGAUUGUUUUAAUCAGAUCAUGAUUCAAGGUCGAUACGAUCACCCUAAGAUCUUGAUUGACCACUAAUGAUGAAAGAAAAAAGAACACAGACUAUCUGAUUUAUGCACUAAACAAAAACAAUCAAUUGAGCACCAAGAACCAGAUUUACGUGGUUCAAUGGAGAUGGCUCAUAUUCAAGGAAGAAUGGGGUAUCAGGAUUUCAUUAAACCUUGAUGUCAAAUUAUACAAUGACACUACAAGUUGCUUGGAACAAGAUGAAGUGACUUUCUCUCUCUAAUUCUUAUAUCUACAGCAUGUAUGAGAUCUCAGUAACCAUGAUGUUGAUCAGCUUGUCAUAACAGCGCGACGGGGACCCGGGGAAGAAAAAAAAACUGUUCCUGUUUGACCAAUUUGACUUAGGUGGCCCAGGUGCGUUGCACGUGAUUACUCAGUUCAACAUCAAAACGACAGAAUUCUCAGCCGUUUCACGCUUGGAUUUUUAACGCCAAACGUUACCCUUUUUUUCUCUGUUUCAAAGGGCAAACCACAGGCGUUUUAAUUUGCAGCCUCCUGAUUUGAGAUCUUAUGUCAACGCCGUCGUAAUCCUUACUCCUUAGUCGAUCAGACACCUCAUUCUCUUAUCCUUGAGAUUUAUGAUUUUGCUGUCCCAUGAGCGUAAUAGUUUGGUUUUUUUUUUUUUAAUAAAACCACCAAGAGGUGGGGUUAGGUGGACCCCCUGUCUAUAAUAUAAAUGAAUAAUAAAGUAAAUACAUGAGAAAGACAUAAACCAAAAUCUCCUAAAAUAAAUAUAAAUACAGAAGAAUAAAAUUAUCAAAAGGAAGAUAAAAGCCAUCAAUGCUCGCCUAUGAGGUAAUGAACAACAUGCGCAUCCAAAUGGAGAGUGCUAGAUAAGUCAGCACGAAGAUCUUGAGAACACAAGAAAUGCUGACUAACCUAAUGAGUGUAGGCCCGAUUGGCCAAAAAAUCGGCAGCAAAAGUAACCCCGAGAAGCACAUGCCUAACAAAAAUAGGAGAGGAAGAUGUCAAAGCACACACCCGACACAAUGAAUAAGCAUAAUCCCAACGAACAGGACCCCGAGAAUAAAUCCAAGAAAAAAUUGUGGCCGAGUCUGACUCGAUGCACGGAGUAACCAAGCUAAGUAGCAAGCUCCAACAUUUCACAAACAACCAUAAGCUCAAGGUAAAAAAUUGGCUGACAGCCAAGAAAAGAUUCAAAAGCAGCUAAAAUCACACUUCGAUGAACUCAUAUAAUACCACCUGACGCAGGCAUUCCAGGAUUGCCCCUAGGGCAACCAUCCACAAUCAGUUUUGCAAUCCCAAUAAGCAGCCUCAUCGAAGAAAGGCAGUAGUUUGUUUAUUUAUUUAACUUUCAUUGGUUUGCGAUUUUUUAGAUGGACUUCAAAUAUGAUACGUCUAUGCAAGUCUCCAUGGAUAUUGAGUUGGACUUCAAAUCUCCAUGCAUAUACUGGACUUAUUGUUUCUAGAAUCCAGAAAAAGAGUAACUAUUGGCAACCCUCUAUAAUCCUUAUAAAAUUUGUCUUCUAUGACAAUUACAUUAAAGAACAACAUAAAUCUAACUAAAUCCUUUCAUUUUCUUUCUCUAACUCUUUACACCUAUAGAAUCAAUCCAAUGUUUUUCAUUUUUUUUUCAAACAAACACUUUGUGUUUUAAUCAUUCUUAAUCUACAAAUAAUUUCUCACGCUUAUCGAUGAUCUCCUCGUCCAUUUUCAAUUUCUUGUAUAACCUUGAAUAAUAAACUUUUUUAAAAUUACAGAUAAUCCACUUUUAACCCUAGUUAAUUCUAACAUACGUGAUUUUACUUUUAAGAGUUAAAUAUGUAUAAUUUAAUCGUUAAAAAAGUUGUUCGAGGAACAUAUAUUUGGAGUUGAGUGGAAGAAGUUGAAAAAAUAGAAAAAAAGAUAUUUGAUAGAAAAGGGACUUUAAAAGGAAAUAACAGGGUGCUAAUAGUCCUACUUUCUUAGACAAAGUAGAGGAAUGGGCAAAUCCAGAUCAAUUCUUUGUAGAGUUGUUGUGUAGAAAUGUGUCAAACAACGAUGCAAGAUAAUAACAAAUAAAGGAGAAAAAGAAAAUGUCACAAAAAAAUUUAUGUGGUUCAAUAAAUUGCCUACAUCUAAGGCAGGGAGAAUUCAAAUAUCCACUAAUAUGACAAAGGUGGAAUACAACUAUCUCAAUGUCACUUCUCAAAUUCUCAAUACACCUUUUUUUCUCAAUUCACAAGUAUCAAAGACAGAACACUCAAGUUAUUUGAAUUCCUCAAAUAGGAAUUGAACCUCGCAAAUGCUUACUGGAAGCUCUUAAUUAAUGCUUAUAGGAAGCUCACAAUUGUUUUUCUUCAAUACUUAAACAAAUGGAACCAUGAGCUAUUUAUAGCCAAUUUGCAAACAAUGGCCACAUUAUUUUAAUCCAAAGUGGUUACCUAACUUGGCCAUUUUUUUGCCAAAAUGCUCCACUAACAAUUAUUUAAUGGCACAUGUUUGGGAGAAAUACGUCGACGAGACCAAGCAUGGUGAGCAGAUAUCUGAUGGCAGAGUUCUGCGAACCGGUGUGUUCCGUAAAAGCCUAGUGCGCAGGGGAACAGGAGCAGAAAUAUCCUGCUCGUCCACGAGCACGUCAUCCGCGAGGCAAAUUUCCUGUAAGAGGCAUAAGGCCAUUCCGGCUAGAGGUCGAGAGGCGAGGAGACCCGGUCGACGGCAGUUGGCAAGACAUGCUCUCCAGCCCGAGAAUCUAGGCACGACAGCCACGCUUUCCCCAGAACCGUGGCGUAACACGCAAGAUCCCACGUUUGCCCAUAACGCGGCAGUCAGAGUCCCAUACCGUCUCGAAAAAAGCGGAAAACUGGGAUUCAGAGGAAGCCUAUAAAAAGGUAGCCAACGAAGGUAAAUGGGUUAGCAUUUUUGAGAUUAGAAAAGAAAUUCUAAAAGAGAGAAAACAACCUAACAGCCAUAAGAUUUGUGGCAAGCGUUCCCCGAACCUUCAUAUCUGACUUGAGCGUCGGAGGGUUUGCGCCGGGAAAACAACCGGCGUACUCUGACCUGUCUGUGUGCGCAGGAACCUCUGGAGAAGAAGCCUUGCGAGGAGACCCCCUGGUCGUGAUGAAGUUGAUCGAGCAGAGAUUCUGGUCGUAGAACGAGGAGAACCGGAAUCUUGCAUCAACAGCACCUACUUUGGCCACUAUCAAUUGUGGGCUUACUUUUACCUAAUUGCUCCACUAAAAAAUGUUGAAUCGCUAAAUGGAAGCCACAUCGCCAACAAUCUCCACCUUGGCUUCAAAUUUGAUGUCGUCAACAUUUCCUACUGGAGCAAUUGGGUAAAGUAAGCCAAAAAUUGAAAGUGGCCAAAUUAGGUGGCAUUAAAUAAUUGUUAGUGGAGCAUUUUGGCAAAGGAAAUGGCCAAGUUAGUUAACCACUUUGGAUUAAAAUAAUGUGGCCAUUGUUUGCAAAUUGGCCAUAAAUAGCUUAUGGUUCCAUUUGUUUAAGUAUCGAAGAAAAACAAUUGUGAGCUUCUUACAAGCAUUAAUUAAGAGCUUUCAGUAACUAUUUGUGAGGUUCAAUUCCUACUCGAGGAAUUCAAAUAACCUGAGUGUUCUUUCUUCAAUACUUGUGAAUUGAGAGAAAGGGUGUAUUAGGAAUUUGAGAAGUGACGUUGAGACAGUUGUAUUUCACCUUUGUCAUAUUAGUGGAAAUUUGAAUUGUCCCCCGUGGAUGUAGGUAAUUUUUUUUUAAUCUCUUUUUCUUUCUCUCCUUUAUUUCGGAUCUAUAGUGUCUGUAAAGACUAGGCUUGGCAAAAUCUGGGUCCGGUCCGGGUUUUGGUGUUGCCCGGGACCGGACCGGAUGAGAGAAAUGCAAACCCGGACCCGGGUUAAAACCCAGUUUUUCCAGGUGCGGUCCGGGCUUGAGCCCGGCACCUUCCGGGUCUGGGUUUUGAUCCGGACUUUUUAAACCCGCAUGUGAUAAAUUUAAUUUUUUUUCAAUUUUUUUCUUCAAUUUUUUUUUAAUUUCUCUAACAAUACAAAUUUUUAAAAAGAAAAUAAUCAAAUAAACUCAUUCAAUUUCAAAUUUUAAAAAAGAAAAUAGUCAAAUACAAAUAUGUAACACAUUAACAAUACAAAUUUUGCACAAAUGAUAAAUAAAAAUUAUUUCAAUCUACUUUUUAAUACCUAAAUUUAUCCAAUUUCUAACUUAAACUCAUUCAAUCUAUAUAUAAAAUAAAUAAAUUAAAUUCAAUAACACAAUAAUUACACAAUAAAUUUAAAUAACAUCCAAUAUAUCAUAAAUUCAUAAUUAUAUAUUUAUAUAUAAUAUAUUUAUUUUUUUUAAAUUUAUUAAAAAACCGGAUCCGGUCCGGGUUCCGGGUUUUUUGUGUUGAACCCGGACCCGGGACCGGAAAUGUCCGGGUUUGAGAAUUUCAAACCAGGAUCUGGUUUUUAUAUGCAUGUGGUCCGGGUUUUGCCCGGACCGGAUUGGCUGGGUCCGGGCCGGGUCCGGUCCGGGCGGGCUUUUUUGACACCCCUAGUAAAGACAGUGUUGACAAAUGCUAAAGUUGAAGUUGAAAAUUUUAAUGGAACCAACAACUUUAGUAUGUGGCAAUGCGAGAUAAUAUCAAAUAAAGGAGAUAAAGGAAAUGACACCAAAAAAAAAAAAAUUACGUGAUUUGGCAAAUUGCCUACAUGCAUGGGAGGGAGAAUUUAAAUUUCCAUUAAUAUGACAGGUGGAAUAGAACUCUCUCAAGCUUACUUCCUAAAUUCUCAAUACACCCUUUCUCUCAAUUCACAAGUAUCAAAGAAAGAAUACUCAAAUUGUUCGAAUUCCUCAAAUAGGAAUUGAACCUCGGAGAUGCUCACUAAAAGCUCUUAACUAAUACUUUUAGGAAGCUCACAAUAGUUUGUCUUCGAUACUCAAACAAAUGGAACCGUAGGCUAUUUAUAGCCAAUUUUUCAAACAAUGACCAUAUCUUAAUCCAAAGUGGUUGUCUAGCAUGACCAUUUCUUUUACCAAAAUGCUCCAUUAAUGAUUAUUUUAUGGCACCUAAUUUGACCACUAUCAAUUGUUGGCUUACUUUCCCUAAUUGCUCCACUAACAAAUGUUGAAUAGCUAAAUGGAAGCCACAUUGCCAACAAUAGUGAAGCUCCUAACGCUAUUUUAAAACUCUAGGAAACCCCACUUAUUAUAUAUAUAUAACUCUUAUUUUGAUGAAAUUUUUAGAAAGGGACAAAAGGUCAUAAUAGAGUUUAAUUAAUUAACAAACAAUUUUUUUUAAUAAAAACAUAUAAUUUUUUACUAUAUUGCCACAAAAUUAUUUUGAUUUAAAAUAAUUAUUUAUAUCAUGUAAAGAUUGAGUUCAUGAUUUAUAAAUAUAAAAAUAUUUUAAUUUAGUUAAAUUCAUAUUUAUUAAUAUAAGGUUUUAUGAUAAUUUUUUAAAAAGUGAGCAACGACUAUUUGAAAACUAUUUCAUCAAGCCAUGAGGACAAUUAAUUGGACCUUUUUAAUGCAAAAUGCCCAAUUUUGAAAAAUUCCAGCCAAGUGGCAAAACUAAAAGCAAUGCCUUGAAUAAUUUGGCACCAUGGCCUCCCUAGGUUUCCUUAAUCUACAAAUAUUAAAGCGAACCAUGAAUUAUUUGUCUCCGUUUCCAAGUAUUAGGUAGAAUUAAUGUACUAGGCAUUUUAGCUUAGGAAAUCCUCUAUAUAUAUAUAUAUAACACAAAAAAAUCAAACACGUGAUUUGAAAAUUUUUAAAAGUGUUAAAAAUGUUUAGAAAUAAUAGAUAGAUUCAGCCCCAGGAUAUCGUAUGAUAUUAAUGACAACGAGACAAAGGCUUGAAAAAUCAAACAUUAAAGACACAUUUCCCCCCGGCAAGAUGCCUAAUAUUUACAAUGCUCUGGUACUCAAGAGUCGAGACACAAGGACAUGAAAAAUCAAAGCAAACGAUGAUGUGUUUCAAAAGUUUAUCAUUUCUGUGAGUGAAAGGACUCGAUAAAGUAGAAAUCGAACGACGACUGAUCUCUGGUAAACAUCUAUAGGUACGCAACAAAUAUUUACCAACUAACUAAAUUAAGAAUAUUAUGUUUGAGAAAUCAAACAUAAUUUGGAAAAUAAUUAGUGUUGCAAAUAUUUAUCCUUUCUGUGAUUGAAAGAACUCGAUAAAUAGCAACUCAAUGAUAAUUGAUCUCUGGUAAAUAUCUAUAGGUGAACACAGAUACUUGCCAGCUAACUUAAGAUUAAGUUAGUAUAAAAUAUAUAUUUUAAAAUAUACCAAAAUUUCCUAGUAGUAUCCCAAUAUUUCUAAUCCAAGUGCUGACCAUUCAAUAGAUGAAUGCCUCCUCACUUAAGAUGAUUAGAGGUAGAAAAAUGAUAUUUAUUCAUAAUGAUUAAAGAACAGGCCAUAGAAACAAUUAUAAAACCAUAUGGAAUUAACGUGUUUUUCAUUAAUUUUUUAAAUUAAUUGUAACACCAUAUGGUGUUAACUUAUUUUUAUCAUUAUCUUUUUUCAUAACUGUAGGACCAUAGAGUAUUAACGUGUAUUCUAUAGCCAUUAUGAAAUAUUUUCCUGGAUGAUGAAUAUUAUUAGGUAAGAUACUGUAAAAAAACAAAAUGAAAAUGAUAAAAUAAUCUAAUCAAGAUCGUUCUCAAUCAUACUCUAAAUCUAUCAAAUAAUGUCCCUUAAAGAAACAGUCCACAAAGCCUUCUUCUAGAUAUCAAUGUUUAUUACUCCAAAAAUUUUCCUGAAAACGCAGUUUAAAGAGGAAAAAAAAAAAUAGUGGGAAACAACAAUAGAAUCAGUGAAGUUGACAACAAUUAUGGCAUUUUCCAGUAAUUGAGAAAUUUAAAUCAUAAGUAAUAUAAGAACUUUCUCACAAGUCAUGCCGGAUAUUACUGUAUUAGAAUAAAUAAGCCAUUAGAUGCCCACAAUCCUCAUCGUUUUCUUGCAGGAAUGGAAAAUGGUUAUCUCGGAUGACACCAAAACAUCUUCUGAAAAUGGGUGGGAAAUCGACAGAGAGCGCAAGGUUUUUGAUGAUACGAAAGCCGGUGUCAAAGGACUAGUGGACGCUGGCGUAGUGAAUAUUCGCAGGAUAUUCAUUCGACAACUUGAAGAGCUUGCUCAGGAGUUGACCACUCACCGGACCAAACUACAACUGCCAGUUGUCGAUCUUGAUGGCAUCCAAGACAAUAAACUUGAAGACAUUGUUGAUCAAGUUCGGGCUGCGUCCGAAACAUGGGGCUUUUUCAAAGUUAUCAAUUAUGGGGUUUCCUUAAACCUGAUACAAGAGAUGAUUGAAGGAGUUCACAAGUUUAAUGAACAAGAUGUUGAGGUGAAGAAACAGUUCUACACACGUGAGCCCACGAGAAAUGUUUGAUUCAACAGCACAUUGAUAUCUAUCACUCACGAACUGCAAGUUGGAGGGACACGUUGGCUGUUUUUAUUUCGUGUACCAAAAGUUUGGAACCCAACGAUAUGCCCCAAGUUCGCAGGUAAAUGUAUAAUCGAUCCUGUCUCUGUAUAUAUAUUGCUGGUUAAUGCAGAGCCUUUUUUGUAAUGUUGAGUGCACUGCAACCAAUGAUCAUGAGUGGUGAUAUCAUAUUCUUCUGUACAAUCGUUCAUCCCAAUUUGCAGAGACACAAUAAUGGAGUACAUAAGAGAAGUCACAAAAUUGGGUGAGUUCUGUUUGAAAUACUAUCAAUGGCUCUAGGAUUGAAGCCUGAAUAUUUGAAAGAUAUGGGAUGCUUCAAUUUAUACCUCAUUGUCUGCAACUACCAUCCGCACUGCCCACAGCCAGAGCUGACUUUGGGAGCUAGAAGGCAUUCUGAUCCUUCAUUCCUUACAAUUCUG